AUUGAACGCUGGCGGAAUGCUUUACACAUGCAAGUCGAGCGGCAGCACGGGGGCAACCCUGGUGGCGAGCGGCGAACGGGUGAGUAAUACAUCGGAACAUGCCCAGUCGUGGGGGAUAACACUUCGAAAGAAGUGCUAAUACCGCAUACGUCCUGAGGGAGAAAGCGGGGGAUCGCAAGACCUCGCGCGAUUGGAGUGGCCGAUGUCAGAUUAGCUAGUUGGUGGGGUAAAGGCCUACCAAGGCAACGAUCUGUAGCUGGUCUGAGAGGAUGAUCAGCCACACUGGGACUGAGACACGGCCCAGACUCCUACGGGAGGCAGCAGUGGGGAAUUUUGGACAAUGGGGGCAACCCUGAUCCAGCCAUUCCGCGUGAGUGAAGAAGGCCUUCGGGUUGUAAAGCUCUUUCGGCAGGAACGAAACGGUGAGCUCUAACAUAGCUUGCUAAUGACGGUACCCGAAGAAGAAGCACCGGCUAACUACGUG
rnacentral:rRNA from 1 species